CCUACGGGAGGCAGCAGUAGGGAAUAUUGGGCAAUGGAGGCAACUCUGACCCAGCCAUGCCGCGUGCAGGAUGAAGGCGUUAUGCGUUGUAAACUGCUUUUAUAUAGGAAGAAAGAGUUCUUGCGAGAACAGUUGACGGUACUAUAUGAAUAAGCACCGGCUAACUCCGUGCCAGCAGCCGCGGUAAUACGGAGGGUGCAAGCGUUGUCCGGAUUUAUUGGGUUUAAAGGGUGCGUAGGCGGUUUAUUAAGUCAGUGGUGAAAGACGGUCGCUCAACGAUUGCAGUGCCAUUGAUACUGGUAGACUUGAGUGAGAUUGAGGUAGCUGGAAUGGAUAGUGUAGCGGUGAAAUGCAUAGAUAUUAUCCAGAACACCAAUUGCGUAGGCAAGUUACUAAGUCUCAACUGACGCUGAGGCACGAAAGUGUGGGGUAUCAAACAGGAUUAGAUACCCUGGUAGUCCACACUGUAAACGAUGAUAACUAACUNUUGGCUUUCGGGUCAGUGGUACAGAGAAAUCGUUAAGUUAUCCCACGNGGAGGUACGCCGGCGACGGUAGUAACGUUAAAGGUAAGUUAGUACGGCGUGAGACGUUAGCCGACGGACGACGACGAGGGAGGAGG
rnacentral:rRNA from 1 species